rnacentral:rRNA from 1 species
UACGGAGGGUGCAAGCGUUGUUCGGAAUUAUUGGGCGUAAAGCGUGUCUCGGCGGGUAGGUAAGUCAGAUGUUAAAGAUCCCGGCUUAACUGGGAGAGUGCGUUUGAUACUAUUUAUCUUGAGUAAUAGAGGGAUGAGCGGAAUUCCUGGUGUAGCAGUGAAAUGCGUAGAGAUCAGGAGGAACACCGGUGGCGAAAGCGGCUCAUUGGCUAUUUACUGACGCUCAAGCACGAAAGCGUGGGUAGCAAAC